rnacentral:lncRNA from 1 species
AAAGUAAUGAGAUCAAGGUACAAAGCUAAUGAGACCACACACAAGGUACAAACUAAUGCAUGCCUGACACCUGCUGAUUGGUGGUAACUUCUGGUAUGGUAAUGAAAAGGCAUACAGUAAAACAUGAGAUGUAAAUUAGAAGAAGAUAAUUAGAUUUGCAUUAUGAGUUGCAAUGCAAUGGGAAAUUAGAAGAUGACCAAUGAUAUGGGAACUGCAUAGUGUGGCCAAAUUGCAAAUUUUAAUCAUGGUCCUGCAAAUAAAGGACUUAGGUAAAGCCCCUUUCACUAUUCCUAGUUAUGGUAUUAGUUUGAUCUUUAGCUCUGGAGUUAUCAUACAUGGGGUUACCUUCAAUAUUUUACUGUUCAGAACCAGACCAAUAGAUCUUAAUCUGAGAGAUGCUACCAUUCUAGUAAUUGAUGUACAUCCAAGAUUUUAUAUUAAUGGCAUGAGGUUAUUAGAGACUUGGAGUUGAUGUCCAACACCACGACCCCUCUCCCUCUAUCUUGAAUAAAAGUCAUUACCAAAAUUACCUUAUUGGUGAGAAGGGAAAAGACUAUUGUAAUUUGACAUACGAGAAGCUCAUCUAGAUUCCUUUCUGAAAACUCUUAUAUAUAUCUGGGAUCGAAAAUGUAUGAGAAGUUCAUCUAAAAGAGUUCUUACCUGCCACCAAGCAGGCCCUGGCAUAGAGAACUGGAAAAAGUUUCGAGCACUACAAACAAUCGAACGAGUUUUCCCAGGUGCCAUUGGUACAUUGAAGGAACAAAUCCAUAUCUUCCACUUCUGCUCACCAACUAUGGGAAGCUUUGUAUCUAUCUCUAUUCUGGAAAAUGACAUAAAAAUAGAAUAAACUUCAGAAUGUGUUGUUAGUUGUUACCUAACGCUAAAAUGCAAAGGUGAAGAAACUUUAUUUGUUUAUAGAAAAGCUACAAUGCAUGAUGAAAAAUUGCAGUCAUGUUUGAAUCUGUGCUCAAAGAACAGUUUUCCACUCUCAAAAUUGGAGGAAAAAAAAGAAGAAGUUGCAGAGAGCUAUUUACUGGAAUUAAUUAGCUGUUCGAGACACCACAUAUGGCUUAAAAGAAGCAUGUUCCUAAAUAUUCUAGCUGUUUUCCUAGAUUAACAAUUGUUAAAGCCUUCCCUGAGAACAGAUCCAACAACUCUCUACAACCAGUCAAUGCCUAGAGAAAAAUCCUUCCAUCCUUACGACAACAUUAAAAGAAUUUAGACAUUCUAACUGCAAUAAGACAAGAAAUGUCAUUAGCUUUAAAACAAGGUAUCAGAGAGAGUUUAGUCCUUUGGAUGGACAUCUUGUUGACUAAUGUAUAAGGGACAUACUUCAGGCCAGAAAGAGAGAACCUGAUACUUUGAAACAUAAGUAACCUUGAGGCAAUAACCAUGAGCCUCUUGUCAAAGAGAUUCUUAUGCCUUGCAUCCUUCCAAAACAAUGGUUAAAAUGAUGCUUAAAACUUAUUGAAUGAUGACAAGAAUCAACUCAAGAAUCCCAAAUCAAUCAAAAACAAUAAUCAUAGCUACAACUUGAUUAGUAUCAUCUAGUCAUUAGAACAGGAUCUGCAAGCUGGGUGCAAGUCAAGUCUUUGGUGUUUUGCAUGUGGACUGUUUAUAUGGGAGUGGUCAACUUACUUAUUCAUAUAAUAACAAGGUGCAACAAAUUUGGCACUGAUUCGUGGGUUCCCAUCAUUUGCUCCAGCAAAUCCCCCAGGGCCACUAGACUCCAACUUAAAUGGCAAAGGCUUGGCUCUAUCUCUUCUCCCUGUAACCUGUGAGCGAUUCUUCUUAGUAAGCAGCCUGGAAAACCUAUCCAUUAUAUCAUAGCUAAAGUGCCAAAUAAGAAAUAAUCAAAGGGAGUCCUAUAAAAUAUAGCAUUCUGAAAGCAAGUGCCCUGAAAUCAAUUCCUCGUCCUACAAUGUGUAUUAAGAAUUAUAAUGAUAACAUCUGCUACAUGAACACCAGUAUCCUCCAAAUAAACAUCCCCACCCCAUCCCCCACAAAAAGUUACCAAAUGAUCGAGAAGCAGAGGAUAAUGCAGUCUACGAGGAAGAGGCACGUCAUAUAUAGAAUUAACACUUUACUUCGAGUCAUGCACAUCAGAAGUUCAUAAGUAGGGAACAUCAGAUUACUUCUCAUCUCAAGGAACAAAUUUGUCCAAAUUCAGCUAGAAAGAGAAUAAAGAGUAAAAGCUACACCAGGCAGAGGUACAACAAUUUGCUUUAGAAGACUUUUUAUUGCCAUAUUUAGGACAAGGAGAACCUCAACCAUAGUAACCCUCUACUCUCAGCUGCACAUUUCUAAUUGUUUCACAAAGUUGACACUAAGACAAAAGAUGGUUGCCAAAUUUUACUUCCAAUAUCCAGGUUCAAAGUGCUCCAACUUUCCAUUAAUGAUUUCUAGGUAAUCUAAAAACAGUAAAUUAUCUUUGAAUACAACUUCUGUAAGUAUCACCUUGGUAUUGUGGUUUGGUCUUACAAUGUAGAUUGUGACUUUUUUUUUUCCCUUUAAGAAACCCCAAAGUAAUUUUAACCCAACCAACAUUAUGGCAAGUAGAGAAAUUUGUUAAAUAAAGGGCAUCUCUUAAAUAUUGAGAACAGUUCCAGCAUAUAUUAUACUAUAAGAAAAAAUUAAGUGCAUUUAAUUGGAAGGGCCUCACCCAAUUGAAAAGGCCGCCUGGCAAAGAUGAACAAACAACAAUUUAGUCAUCGAUCAAUAUCCUUAUAUUCAAAUAUUUACCUUGUGAUGUGCAAAAUCAAUGUGGGAAGGAUCGGACACAUUCUCCAUCAGCGUAUCAUAGCCAUAAAACAGAUCUCGCUGAAUUGUCACAGUUGAGAACUCGGGAUUCUCGAACUCAUCAGGCAGCCUAAAGAAUUCAAUUAAACAUCUCAUUAAAAUAAUCAUAAGACAAUUAAUUUCUAAUCAAAUAAGGUUUGAAUAAUUGACCAUCAUCUGCAUUGACUAAUUUAUGUUAUAAAUUAUAAACUAAAAAAAAGAUACAGAGAUAAUCAAGUACAUUGGAGGCUUAGUUGCAGAAGCUCUUUCCCAACCGUUCUCAUCCGGCCAAACAAAGAGCAGACCCUGAGAAACCAUUGUAGGAAACCUUGUUGCGCAGGCCCUUGGAGACCCAACAGCACGAGCUUCAGGUCCUUCAGGCAAGGCCUGGGGAAUCCGUUUGCAAGAUCCACACUUGUCAAAGGACCAUCCAUGGUAAGAACAUUGCAAGUAACCAUUUUCAUCAAUUCUUCCCUCCUACAAAAGAAAAGAAUCAUCAAAAUCAGGGUCUCUUAGAUUAUUCUACUAUUUGGGUGUCAAGUGAAGCAUAUAGUUCCACUUAAAGUGAGGUCAUUCAAGUCGUACAGCAUGGUUGAGCAGAAAAUAUUAUGACCAGAUUGGUUGUUGGGAAAACAAAGGAAAAUGAGAAGAAAUCAAACUUGUUCAUCCUUUACAGAAUGAGAAAGGGAAAGCUUCCAUUCAGCUGAGGAAGCAACCCAAAAAGUAGGAAUCCCAAGUUCCUCUGUACUUCCCAGCAACCAACCAACCAGCAGGUUAAGUCCAAAAAUUCCAUUAUAUUUUCUUGCCCCCAUUUCCUGGAAAACAAAAGAGAGCAAAACUUCAAUUGAAGAAAAUUACAGAUAAUGGGGCGAGGCGGUGCGGGCACUUGUCAUCAAAGGCAACCCAUUCAGCAGUAGAUUUAUCCUUCCAGAGAACGAUGUCUCGGCCAAGAAGCUGAAACGGGGUCGGGCGAUUAGUGUCCAGGUCCUCAAUUAGCGACACUGGAUACCAGUGAUCUCUCCACAAGAACUUGGAAGACGACGACGACCUCUCAUCAUCAACCGCAACAACUUCAUCCUCACGUUCUUCAUUGGAUUGAUCUGAGGUCACAGGCUGGGUGGGAGGAGCAGCCACCCUCAAGGGAGAGAAAGUCAGUGAUCUGGUUGUUCUAAAGGAAGGGUUCGUUGGUUUGGAGGGAUGAGAGGAGAGGAAGCAGGUGGUGGAAUUGGGAAAGAGGCCAGGGAGUGCGGCUGUAGUAGCACAACCGUAGAGAAGGAAAGCCAUUUUCCAGCUCUGUGAGAUGGAGGAGUGGCUUCAGAUUUUUAGAGAAACCGUUUGCGUACAAGUCUGGAAUUCUUCUGGAGCCGUUAUUUACAGUGAGAAGGAGACAGAACAGCGAGUCGACUCAAUUGAGUUGCGGCGUGUGUAAAAAGAGUGGGAUUUUUACCGGCAUGGUCGGAGACUGUUUGCUACUUUUCUUAGGAAUUCAUUGGACCACGUGGCGCAAUGAUAACCAUUUAUUACCUUCUUCACUCAUUAUAUUUGAACUUUCCAGAAAUUUCUUUUCAUUGUAAAUUACAAAAAAUUGCAGAUACGCGUGACUUAAUUAACUUCCUUGAUUUUACAUUUUACGUUUCGAGAAUUGGUUCAUAGAAAGAUUGUGUUUAGCAUCUCACAGUUAUUAGGAUUUUUUUUUUUUUAAAAGACAUUAGGAAAAAAAAAAAAUUCAAAUGAGUAUGAGUGGGUCAAAACAAAAUUUAAUCAGAAUACUUAUUCAAAUAUGGUGAUGAUAAUUGAUGAUCUAAAUCAAUCCAUUUCAGUGUUACUGGUAAUGGGAGUGAAAAGGGUUUUGGCAACGGGAGUUCAACACGUAACAUUUGAAAGGGAAUUGAAGAAGUUUUAAGCGGGGAGGGUCUAAAAACUUCAAGAACCAUCACUGAUUGCUUCUCCAAUCAAGCUAUUGAUGGAACAAAUGGACAAAAAAAAUCUCCAACCUAGCAUUUUCGCAAUGGAAGGUGAGGGCAGCUGUGGAAGCAAAAGCCAACAAGGUCAAAUUGGCUUAUUCGCCUCUACUGUGAGAAUUGGGGCACCCUUUUUCUCCUUCUGGUAGGUUUGGCCACCAGCUUUCCCUGUCCCAUUCUCAUGACAUGCCGUGGGAAUCCGGAACAAGCAGCUUCUUCUUUGGCACCGUUUCCAACUUGGCCAUGGAUUUUUGGGGUGUGCUAUUAUUUCUUUUGAUGGCUGAUCUCACAGCUUCAUGCUGAGCCCUCUGUGGAGCAGCUGAAAGCUAGCUUCAAGGGGUGUACCUUUAUUUCAUUCUCUCCUUAUUUCAUUCACCAAAUCUCAAGAGAAUAACAUAUGGUGUGUACCUUUAGUGAAACUGAUACAAAAGAAACAGUGACAUUAAUAGCAACCAUCGAUGCUACCUUAAAGGAAUAUCUUAUCACAAAAUAAAAUUACUUCUUUCGGUAGUCCCGGUGAUCAGGUCCAAUAUCAUGCGAACCAGUGUUUAAGUAAGGCCCUCGAAUUAUUGCCUGGGGUGGCAGUGGUUUUGAUGAAUCAAUCACCGGCUUGCUCUUCAAGGCCCUGGAUCAUGCAAACCAUCUUUACUUCAACUUCCACAAAGGCAGUGGAAUGGGAAUUUCAAAAACAAUAAACUAGUUAAAAUGAAGUAUGCUUACACCAAGUAGUAGGGAAAUGCCAAGCCUGCAGCUGCAAAAGCUAGUAAGCCUGUCGCAAGAAUAACAUUCCUUGAUCGGGACACAGACAUCGCCAAUGAAGGCUAACAAGUGAUCCUAAAAGACAUGAAUAAAAAACUUCAGUCUAACAACUGAUCCUAAAAGACAUGAAUAAUAUAUAUAUAUAUAUAUAUAUAUAUAUAUAUAUAUAUUAUUUUUUGUAUAUAGAAUAACAACAUAAUAUAAAAAAAUUUAUUUAUAAAUUUUGAAUAUUGUUAAGUGAAAGAGAAAUUUCAUAUAUAUAUAUUUUUUUAAAUAGAAAAUAUUGGAUUGCAAUAUAAUUUUUAUUUUAAAUAUUGAAAAAAAAAUAUAUAUAUAUAUAUUACAUUUUAUUUUAUUUUAUUCAUUUUACAAACUAAAUAUAGGUCUGGCAUAACAUAUAUUAUUAGCUAUACUACCUUAAGAUAUCAUGUACAUUGUAUUUAAUAUCCAAGGAUAUUAUAUUCUAUUGAAAAUUAUAUUGUAAGAUAUGUAUUUCUUAUUCAACGGGAUAUGAUAUUUUAGGAUAUAUAUAUAUAUAUCUUUUCCUAUCCUAUCCCCCAAACCAAAUGUGGCCUAAAUGUACAUGUAAUCAAUUAUUUCCACAUAGGCUGGCAAUUUAUUCAGUUUAGGUACCACAUUGUAAAGAAAGGAUGAUUAAACACUUCCAUUGAUGGUGCCUAAAAAAUCACACGAAAUUUCCUUAACAGUCAUAAUGAACUUCAAAAACUUUUUUUGGCCUCUCCAGUCCAAAGCAGAAGGAAUCUUAAAAGAAACAAAGCUAGGCCUUGUACACCAAAAUAUAUAAGGAAAAAUAUAUAAUCUACUAAUGAAGUAUGGUUCACAGUAUCCUCUUUCUUUCCCAUGGCCUGUAAUAGUCUGCUUAGAUACCUUAUAAAGGAAAGUGCAACAAUUAAGUCAAGAAAAAUUAAACUCUCUCUCUCACUUGUGGACCCUAGAGAACAGAGAUGGAGGGUUUUUUCUUCUAACCACCACAAAACCUCAUAGCACUUAAUCCCUCUAGUUUGAUGACACGAAAAAUGAAAAAGACCAAGAUGGGAAAGACUAAGGCCAGUUCAGAAUUGGAUGAAAUCAAUAAAAUCAACGAAUUGCUUUUAAGUAAAAAUGUUUAGAUGCCAAUAAGUAGGGUGUUUUUCCUGCUUAGACCAGGUGUUUGUUCAGCUAAUAGCAUUGACUGAAUGCACAUCACCUUAAUAUAUAAUUGCAAUUCAUAACUAUGCAUUGCCAAGUGGAAGUGCCAUGCAUCUGUAUGGCACAUAAACCCCUAUACUGAUUAGGAAAAUAACAUAAUAAAAUCAUCAUGUUGAGAUGAGGAGGACUUGAGAUAAAAUCAAAACAAUGGAAUUCAAACAAAACUUUUCAUUUUAUAUAUAUAUAUAUAUAUAUAUAUAUAUAUAAGAAUGGAAUUCAAACAAAACUUAGCAAAUGGUCCAGCUAAUUGCAUGUGUUAACACAUUUUCCUUUUUGAUAGGCAAAGAGAAUAUUAUGAAAAGCACUAAAAGAAAAAAGGGGUUACCCUGUACAACAUGUGCUAUCACAUAAGUACCUACAGAAAAUCUCUUGGAUGGUAAACCUUUUUCUUUACUAGACAUUACCUAGGAUAGCAAUCAACUUUGAGAUCAUUUGUAUAACCAAUUCAAGUUAAUGGAAAAUAUUAAAAGAUGGCUACAAGGCAGGAAAUGCUUCAUAGUAAAAGUAGAAUAUUGGGGACUGCACAAGCAAUAUAUUCAAAAAAUGAAUUUUGCCCAACUUUGGAUGCAAGGAUGGAUGGACUUCAACACAUGAAAUACAUAUGUAACAAGAAAUAAAGCACUUUUGAUAAGUAGGGGUGACACCAAAGUGACAAUGGGAUGUAGAGAACUCUCCUAAGAGAAAUUUUCCGAGUGCCAUAAAAAUUGACUAAUACAUCAGCAACACAGAGCAAAUUCGUUCAAAUUAAAAGGCAUUAAAAGAACAAGCCAAAGGUUAAACCGAUCACCAGCAAAUGAAGCAAAACAGACAUGCCAACCAAUUAUUCAACACAAGAUAGUGACCCCCGGAUGGAUGGUGAAAAAAGAUUUGUCUAGCUGAACCAUCAACAGAAUUUAAGGGUGUGCUCACUUACGUGCACAGUGCACUCAAUCAGUGCUUGCUGACAGGAAACUUACAAAACUAGAACAAAGAUAGAAAUCUGUUACUUCGAUAAUGGAGCUCUAAAAUCAUACUACAGAAAAUCAUUUUAAUGAUUAUUUCCAUAACCCAUUCGUUAUAAACAUUUUAUAAACCCUAUCCAAUCACUCAGAUACCAAAUUGCCCCAUAUCUACUCUCAAUCAAAAUCAUUAUAACGAUUAUUCUGUUUAUCAUUUGCAGAAACAAAAACAGGAAAGAAAAAAAAAAUCAGGAAUCACAUCUAGGAAUCUUGAGCUUGUCAUCAGAAAAACACUUCACGAAUUCAAGAAAAGAAACAUAGCCCAUUUCCGGAAUAUCUGUAAAUAAUAGAAUACGUGAUUAACUUCAAUUUCUACAAAUAAUCGGUUCUCUGUUUAGAGCGUGAGAGUGAAGCAAAACCCUAGUUCAGAAACAAUGUUCCGAUUUCAUAUAAUCUGAGAAAUAAUGGAGUUGAAUGCAAGAAGAAAAUGGAUUUACCUGUUAAUGAUAUGAGCCCUUUCAAAUUUCCACUCCCGCCGAUUGCUUUGAGAGACAAAGAGACUCGACGAGUUCAGAGUAGAAUCAGGGCGAAUUUGAUAAAGGAAGGGGUCUGUUCUUGUAUAAUGCCAUGUACCAUGAGACGAAGGGUAAUAUUGCCAUAUGAUUAAUUCUGAUCCGUUGAUCGUGAAUUACAAUAAAUUGAAGCUGUUUUUAUGGGCAUCGUGAGAAUGACAACGGAGGGAAUUCCGGACGGGUAACCCUAUCUCAUUCAUGGUCCCAUUUAUUUAUGUCUAUUCCCAAAAAAAAAAUUUAAAAUGCCUGUAUGUUUCAAAUUUUUCAUUUUUGAAAUUUAAAUUUUAUUAAAAAUAAAUAUAAUUUAUAAAUAAAGAAAUAUUAAAAAUAUUUAUAAUUUAUUUUUUAAAAAAAACAUAUUUUAUUUAUGUAAAAAAAUAACAAAAAAAAUUAAUUAAAAUAAUUUUUUAUUUAAAUUAUAUAUAAUUGAGGUGAGACAAAAUCAUACUGUCCCAAACUCUUUUUUAAAAAAAUAAAAAAUAAAAAAUUAAUCCCUUCUUAAAUCAUUUAUCCUUAUUUCAAAUCCUUAUUAUUUAUGUAUAAAAAACUUGUUUUAAUUGUUUUAUUAGGAAAAAUUAAUUUUAUGCAAACUUUGAUUUUUCAUUUUUUUUUUUGUAAAUUGUUUCUAAAAAUAAAAAAUGAUAUGAAUUAUGUAUAAUGUAAGAGUUUCUUGAUUUAUUUUUUAAAAAUAAUGAUUUUAAAAAAUGAGGUGUUAAAACUUUUUUAAUUCAAAUUUAAAAAAUUUUGAAAAUGAUUUUUAAGAUUAUAAAAUAAAUUAAUUCUAUUUGAUGCAAAAGUGAUUAUUAAUUUUAUUUUUAAAAAUGGAAAAAUAAGAAGUGUAAAAAGCAGCACCUAGGAAACAAAUUGAGAUAAGUACGGGGAGACCAAUUCUACACAUUCCGCCGUAAAGAAGUCAACAUUUUGCCUAAAAGAUUCCGAGCCCAUCUGGUCCGGUCUAAGACUGGACUUAAAUUUUCCAUCUGGUCCAAUAUUAAAAGCCCAACCCAGCCCAUGAGUUCCUGCUUUAAAAUCCUCCACACAAAGAAUAAGCGUCGAGUGAAGCUACACUUUCACCAAAAUGCAGAAGUCGAUGCCAAUCGUUAUGCGCUUGGACCUUAAAAAGUAUUUUUUUAAAAUAAAAUAAAAUUUAUAAAAUAUUUUAAAAAAUCUGAAAACAACUUGUAAUAUUAAAGAAUUACUUCCACUAUUUUAUGAAGAAACACAUCUCAUAUAAAUACAUCAAAGAUCAAAACCUGGUCCGAGGGGCACUAAAAUACAUCUAAAUCCAAGCCCAAGUUGAAAACAUGCUACAAUCAAUCCAAGCCAGAAAUUUUCGAUUUAACCAAUUUUUCUUCAAAGAAAAAUUGUGGUGGACAAAUCCAUAUCAAGGAAUGUUGGAAUUGAUUCAAAGACUAGAGAUAGGGGGUAGGAUAAGAGAGCUAAAAGAUAAUCAGAAUCAAAUGAACCAAUUAAGUUGGCUUGAAACCCAUCCAACUCUCCCACUUGCAUGAUAUAACUUCAUUUCCAUAAACGAAAAUAGACAGCAACACCACAACUGUCAGUGUAGGAUUUGAGGAUGCCAACCAUUUUCAAUAAUGUCAUUGAAAGUGAUGGCUUUCUCUUUCAACCCUUACGCACCCAGAAAAAUGUGCCAACUGUCUUGGACCUCUCAGCCUCUCAUAUAAAAAUUCAGAUUUCUGAUUUGGUAAUCUUUUAGUCCAAAACUUGAAACUACAGCCAGUCUUCAGGAUAGAAAAUCAAAAGAAAAUUGAAAAAAGCAUACAACGCAGCACAAACAACACACCAUCCCUAUUCCUGUGAUUUCCAGUAAUUGGAAAACCAGUACCACAGAAUAAAACAACAUUCCUGAAACUACAGCCAGUCUUCUGGAUAGGAAAUCAAAAGAAGAAAAUUGAACAAAGCAUACAACACAGCACAUACACACCAUUCCUAAUCCUAUGAUUUCCAGUAAUGGGAAAACCAGUACCACAGAAUAACACAACAGAAUAAAUUAAUUAAAGAAAUAUAUUCCACCCCACAGAAGCAGAAACCCCAUAGUAAAAUCCAUCUCAAUUCUACAAAGGACCAACGACAUUUGAGUCAUCAACAGAGUUCAAGGUUUUAAAAAGAUGCAACAGUCUAGCAUUAGUUUCUCCAUGAAAGGGGAAUAGAAGAGUACAAUACCCAACAAUUCAAACAUGUUUCAACUUUCUACGCAGAUAGUAGAAACCUGAAGUAUAAUUGCUUGUUUUUUUUUUUUUUUUCUUUUCCUGGGACAUUUAGGAGGGAUGUAAUUGAGUAAAACAUCACUUAGCAAGCAAGCCCUGCUGAGCUUGAUUCUCCUGCUGCUGCUGAUAGUUCAGAGGCCUCCUGAAGAG